GGAUGAACGCUAGCGGCAGGCCUAACACAUGCAAGUCGAGGGGUAUAAUUACUUUUGUAAUUAGAGACCGGCGCACGGGUGCGUAACGCGUAUGCAAUCUACCUUGUACAGAGGGAUAGCCCAGAGAAAUUUGGAUUAAUAUCUCAUAGUAUAUUUAGGAGGCAUCUUUUGAAUAUUAAAGAUUUAUCGGUACAAGAUGAGCAUGCGUCCCAUUAGUUAGUUGGUGUGGUAACGGCAUACCAAGGCGAUGAUGGGUAGGGGUCCUGAGAGGGAGAUCCCCCACACUGGUACUGAGACACGGACCAGACUCCUACGGGAGGCAGCAGUGAGGAAUAUUGGUCAAUGGAGGCAACUCUGAACCAGCCAUGCCGCGUGCAGGAAGAAGGUUCUAUGGAUUGUAAACUGCUUUUAUACGGGAAGAAACACUACCUUGCGAGGUAGCUUGACUGUACUGUAAGAAUAAGGAUCGGCUAACUCCGU
rnacentral:rRNA from 1 species